rnacentral:rRNA from 1 species
UACAGAGGUCCCAAGCGUUGUUCGGAUUCACUGGGCGUAAAGGGUGCGUAGGUGGCCAGGUAAGUCUGAUGUGAAAUCUCGGAGCUCAACUCCGAAACUGCAUUGGAUACUAUCUGGCUGGAGGGUCGGAGGGGGGACUGGAAUUCCGAGUGUAGAGGUGAAAUUCGUAGAUAUUCGGAAGAACACCAGUGGCGAAGGCGACUCGCUGGACAAGUAUUGACGCUGAGGUGCGAAAGCGUGGGGAGCAAACAGG